rnacentral:lncRNA from 1 species
GCACUGUCGCUUUCCAUAUUACAACAGUUGACCAUAUGUAUUUGGGAGUUUUUCAAUGCUAAAGAUUUUUACACACUAAGGUUAUAGGAAAUCCUUGCCCCGUAUUACAGAUAAAAGGUUCUGUUUAGAAGCCCAUCAGAUAACAUUCAUCAUAAAAGCAAUUUUCACGAUGGGUAUGAUCAAAGGUAGUAACAUGAAGACAUCCAACGCAUUCCUUCUAGCACUACUGGUCGUAUUCCUGACAACUUGUACAGAAUUAUCGAUUGGUUUACCGACAUCGUUAGCAGAUAGAGAAAGUCUAAAGUCUCUUCCUUGUGAAGAUAGUUCUGAUCAAUACUACUGUUUCUACGAGAUCGCACUAGAGGAUGCGUGUGAUAUAAAACCGUUUGCAAUGAUGGAAAAAUGCAGAUUUUCCUGUGGCUUCUGUUAGUAAUAAAUGGAAACUGUCGAUUAACGGGCUACAUCCUGCUCAAUAGAAUGAACAAAUAACUUAUUGGGUUUAACUUUCAAACCAUUUCUCUGCUUUGGUGUUGAAUUCUCUACAUUCUGUACACGAACCAUCUUGAAUUUAAAUGCAAAAGAUAAUGAUAAGUAAAAUUCACUGUGUUAUAUACUUUAAAUGAAUCAGAAAUAAAUCUUGUCAAUAUUGAA